rnacentral:lncRNA from 1 species
AUAACAAAUAAAACAACACUGAUACAUAAUACCUAUUUAGUAUAAACGAUAAGUAGAUUAAUAAUCCGUUGAUUAUUUAGGACCCUAGAAUAUAAAUAUUAGAAUUUCAAUUCACAUGUUAAAAAUAUAUAUCUUCGCUAAAGAGAAAAAUGUUUUCUUUUCCAGUCCUGAGAUCUGAUGGGGACGAUAACUAAAGACACAUGGAAAUGGAAGUCUGGAUAUAAUUACAUUAUGAGCAAAACCUGCGGAGAUUAUAAAAUUGCUGCAUUUCUGCCUUGAAUAAUGAAUUAGACAAAAGGUGGAGUGUUUGAAAACAUUCUUUGAAUUGAACAUGGUUGAAACUCUACCUAAUGACACAUGGAGCCCAGAGAAUAAUGACGAGAAUAUGAACAAAGCUGAGAAUAUGGAAAGAUUUCUGCCUUACCGCUUACAGUACAUAUACAUUCAACAUGGAGGAGUCAUUUGACUGCGGCCAUACUGGAGCAC